rnacentral:rRNA from 1 species
CCAGCCUGCCAGUGACUACAAGUUCAACGGCCGCGGUAUUUUGACCGUGCAAAGGUAGCGCAAUCACUUGUCUUUUAAAUAGAGACCUGUAUGAAUGGCUAAACGAGGGCUUAACUGUCUCCCCUUUCCAGUCAGUGAAAUUGAUCUGCCCGUGCAGAAGCGGACAUAAAAAUACAAGACGAGAAGACCCUUUGGAGCUUAAGGUACAAAACUCAAUCCACGUCAAGCAACUCAAUAAAAAGCAAAAACUUUGCGGAACAUGAGAUUUUACCUUCGGUUGGGGCGACCACGGAGGAAAACAAAGCCUCCAAGUGGAUUGGGAAAACCUCCUAAAACCAAGAGAGACAUCUCUAAGCCACAGAACAUCUGACCAAACAUGAUCCGGCUGCCCGAAGCCGAUCAACGAACCAAGUUACCCUAGGGAUAACAGCGCAAUCCUCUCCCAGAGUCCAUAUCGACGAGAGGGUUUACGACCUCGAUGUUGGAUCAGGACAUCCUAAUGGUGCAGCCGCUAUUAAGGGUUCGUUUGUUCAACGAUUAAAGUCCUACGUGAUCUGA